AUUGAACGCUGGCGGCAGGCCUAACACAUGCAAGUCGAACGAGUGGCGGACGGGUGAGUAAUGUCUGGGACACUGCCUUAUGGAUGGGGAUAACUACUGGAAACGGUAGCUAAUACCGCAUACCAUCGGAUGUGCCCAGAUGGGAUUAGCUAGUAGGUGGGGUAAAGGCUCACCUAGGCCACGAUCCCUAGCUGGUAUGAGAGGAGGACCGGCCACACGGGAACUGAGACACGGUCCAGACUCCUACGGGAGGCAGCAGUGGGGAAUAUUGCACAAUGGGCGAAAGCCUGAUGCAGCCAUGCCGCGUGUAUGAAGAAGGCCUUCGGGUUGUAAAGUACUUUCAGCGGGGAGGCGUUACCCGCAGAAGAAGCCCCGGCUAACUCCGUGCCAGCAGCCGCGGUAAUAC
rnacentral:rRNA from 1 species